UACGAAGGGGGCUAGCGUUGCUCGGAAUCACUGGGCGUAAAGGGUGCGUAGGCGGGUUUUUAAGUCAGGGGUGAAAUCCUGGAGCUCAACUCCAGAACUGCCUUUGAUACUGAGGAUCUUGAGUUCGGGAGAGGUGAGUGGAACUGCGAGUGUAGAGGUGAAAUUCGUAGAUAUUCGCAAGAACACCAGUGGCGAAGGCGGCUCACUGGCCCGAUACUGACGCUGAGGCACGAAAGCGUGGGGAGCAAACAGGG
rnacentral:rRNA from 1 species